GAUGAACGCUGGCGGCGUGCCUAAUACAUGCAAGUCGAGCGAACUUUUGGGAGCUUGCUCCCAAAAGUUAGCGGCGGACGGGUGAGUAACACGUGGGUAACCUGCCUGUAAGACUGGGAUAACUUCGGGAAACCGGAGCUAAUACCGGAUAACAUUGAAGACCACAUGGCCUUCAAUUAAAAGGUGGCUUUUAGCUACCACUUACAGAUGGACCCGCGGCGCAUUAGCUAGUUGGUGAGGUAACGGCUCACCAAGGCGACGAUGCGUAGCCGACCUGAGAGAGUGGCCGGCAAAAGGGGAACGGAGAGAGGGCCCAGGCGAGGACGGGAGGGAGCGGAGGCGGAUAUGGGAGAAUGGGAGGAAGACAGGUGCAGCGACGCCGGGUGGGGGAGGACAGGAGUCGGGUUGUAAAACGAAAGCGCCUGUGACGGGGCGGGAGGGAGGGUAAUGAGUAAAGAAGCAACGGCUAACUAAGUG
rnacentral:rRNA from 1 species